UACGGGGGGGGCAAGCGUUGUUCGGAAUUACUGGGCGUAAAGGGCUCGUAGGCGGCCAACUAAGUCGGAUGUGAAAUCCCCAAGCUUAACUUGGGAACUGCAUCCGAUACUGGAUGGCUUGAAUCCGGGAGAGGGAUGCAGAAUUCCCGGUGUAGAGGUGAAAUUCGUAGAUAUCGGGAGGAACACCGGUGGCGAAGGCGGCGACCUGGGUAGAUACUGACGCUGAGGUGCGAAAGCGUGGGGAGCAAACAGG
rnacentral:rRNA from 1 species